rnacentral:SRP_RNA from 1 species
GCCGGGCAUGGUGGUGUGUGCCUGUAAUCCCAGCUACUCCGGAGGCUGAGGCAGGAGAAACGCUUGAACCCAGGAGGCGGAGGUUGCAGUGAGCUGAGAUCACGCCACUGCACUCCAGCCUGGGUGACAGAGUGAGACUCUGUCUCAA